UACGUAGGGUGCAAGCGUUGUCCGGAAUUAUUGGGCGUAAAGAGCUCGUAGGCGGUCUGUCGCGUCGGCUGUGAAAACUCGGGGCUCAACUCCGAGCUUGCAGUCGAUACGGGCAGGCUAGAGUUCGGCAGGGGAGACUGGAAUUCCUGGUGUAGCGGUGAAAUGCGUAGAUAUCGGGAGGAACACCUGUGGCGAAAGCGGCGCACUGGACCACAACUGACGCUGAGGCGCGAAAGCUAGGGGAGCAAACAGG
rnacentral:rRNA from 1 species